AAAAAAAAAAAAUAAAUAAAAAAAAAAAAAUCAAAUUUAAACAGGAAACAAUUCAAAUACCAAGAGUCUAAUGCAAAUUACCAAAACUUGAAUUUUCCCCUGGACUUCACCUUUAGUCAAAUACUCAAAUUGAUAGCAUACCAACUUCUAGCAUUCAUUUGAUUAUGUAAAUAAGUGUCUUUAUAAAGUUUCCCAAAAAUAAAAAUAAAGAAUGAGUGCUUGAUCUUAUUCCUAAUUUAAAUCAGAUAAGUAAAAAAGGCAGCCCCGGAAUUUCCCAAUUUCUUCUUAAAUAUAUUGUUUCCAAAGACGGAAAACCCCUUUCGCAACAAGAAAUUAUAUCAAAUCAAAUCUUAAUUUAACGCACGCCCAAUAAAAUUCAGCAAGACCACAUAUCUCAAAAUGCAAUCUUUAUCUCAGAAUCAAUCAAUUCAAGUUACAAAUAUGCAAUCAUGUAAACCAGCAUACUAAUUCAAUAAAUAAAAAAGGGGAUUAUUAAAAAUCAGUACUUACAGAAUACAGAGAUUUAUUCAGCUGCCUUUAAUCUUCUUGUGAUUAUUCCAUUACAUAAUUUAACCAUACCUUAAAAAUUCUACACUCGUGAAAAAUGUGAGUGCGUAUGGUGGAGUAGGUUGUGGUGGGUAUAAGUUUUACUUUUACAUAAAAACUGACAAGAUUCAAGGGUUUCAUCAAAAGAGAUAAAGACAAAAUUGUAAUCUUUAAGCUUUGGAUUCCACAGUCUCAUCUCUUUCAAAUCUAGCCGUCAAUAUUUUACUGUUCUUAGAACAUAUAAUAGAGCAGUACAAUGGUUUGACGAAAAGGUCAACGCUCCCAAUGCAAUAAUCGCAUUUGGAGU
rnacentral:lncRNA from 1 species